UGGCUAUGAUUACAAAAUACCCGCGCUUCUGAGAGUUAUCUGUGAAGCUAAAUAAAAAUGGUUGAAUUUCUUGAUAUGAUACA